rnacentral:rRNA from 1 species
AUUGAACGCUGGCGGCAGGCCUAACACAUGCAAGUCGAGCGGAGCGGCGGACGGGCGAGUAAUGCCUAGGAAUCUGCCUGGUAGUUGGGGAUAAAGUCCGGAAACGGGCGCUAAUACCGCAUACUAUCAGAUGAGCCUAGGCCGGAUUAGCUAGUUGGGGGGGUAAAGGCGUACCAAGGCGACGAUCCGGAGCUGGUCUGAGAGGAUGAUAAGUCACACUUGAACUGAGACACGGUACAGACUCCUACGGGAGGCAGCAGUGGGGAAUAUUGGACAAGGGGCGAAAGCCUGAUGCAGCCAUGCCGCGUGUGUGAAGAAGGUCUUCGGAUUGUAAAGCACUUUAAGUUGGGAGGCGUUACCAACAGAAUAAGCACCGGCUAACUUCGUGCCAGCAGCCGCGGUAAUUC